rnacentral:lncRNA from 1 species
CGAAGACAUAUACAUGGAAAAUGGACGCUUCUUGCUUUCAAAAACAAACACAAAAAGCAAAGAGUUUACCAAUGUACAAGAUUUAUGUUAAAGGAAUUAUACCAAGAUUUCAGUCUUAAAUUUUAGCCUUGGACUUAGUAUCUAAAUUGAAUUAGGAAACCACACUUAAUCUGACUUCAUCUCAUUUUGAUGUGUUGCUUCAGACUUUAACUAAUAUAUUAGGGUUUUGUUUUGUCUUGUUUUCAAUGUAUCCAGUUUGUUCAAAAGACUUCAGCCUAGGUCGGUUACAGGAAAACAAUCAUACCGUCCUAUUGACUAAUUAUGCCCAAAAUAGUUCACAUCAGACACAGUUGUAGGGUAAAAUCAUGUUUCUAGAUUAGGCUCAGAAGCUGGGAUGAGAAGGAGGAACUCAAAGGAAUUUUAUUUUUAGAUGUGAUCAAAUUUAGUAAAGAGAAGGAACAGGCUGCGGUUUCAGAAACAACGGAUAGGGCUCAAGAGGAAGGUCACCAGCAAGUAAGAUACAAGGGUCUGAAACCUCCAGAAUCCAGCGGAUCCCAGGUAAGGAAAUUACAAUGGAAAUCAGAGACAAAAUGGGGAAAAAAGGUAGGGCCAUGAGAUUGAUUCCCACAGAGGGAAUAAAGAAAGAAAGUGUCACUUCUGAGCUGAAGCAGUUAUGCCUUCUCCACCAUCUUUUGCCUCUAUGGUGAUCACAGAAGCCACAUGUUGCAGAUGACCUCAUAUCAAGAAAGUGAUCUGAAUCUCUAAAGCAUUGCUUGAAGAGAAGCUGUCCAGGAAAGCUACAUGACCAGGAACAGAUGCAUGGACUUCAAGUGAGCGAUAAGCAAACUAUCAUGGGAGAAGCCACUGAGACGCUGAGCAUUUCCUCUCAGCAGUCAACAUACCUUAGUGAGUAUUCACAGGAUGAAAAGCUGAAAGUGUGCUAGGGACACAAAUGGAUCGGUAGAUUUCAUAGAAAGAAGACUGGGGUAGCUUCUAAAUGUGUGUUUUUUAAAAUGGCCCAAGUUUAUAAGCUAGGAAGGGGGGAAAGGAGAGUUUGGUAUAGGAUGUUUGAGUAGGAAAGCAGGCAUGUAUUUGUCAUUUUGGCGAAUGAGAAAGUGAACACACUGAGGAGUUUAGUAGACAUGCUGGAUAGCGGCAACAUCCGAUUUGAGAUUUGAGAUCACAAAUGUAAUAUGUCUAACAUUGGUUGAAAGACAUUCUAGUUAAGCAUACAAACAAACACAAGCUUGUUUCAGAACAAAGGUAAAGAAUUCAGACUUCAUCUAAUUACACUUUGAUGAAUAAAAGGAGAUUAUAAGAUAUUUAAAGAGGGAAGAACAGGACAAUUUCAGAUGGAUCAAGCAAGGCUGAACAAGGGACAAUGGCUUUCGCUGCUGUAAAUAGUACUAUGGCACAACAGGAGAAUCAAUGAGGGGAGAAACUGGUGCAGCAGUUUUGAAAUAUCUACAGAAGACUUGACAACAAUACUUGAAUGAGGACAAUAUCUCUGGUUUAUUGAAUGUUGAUCAUGUGCCCAAGAGUACAUUAAGUCGUUACAUAUCAAGAUAUGUAAUCUGUGAGGGAAAUAUUGAUUUUAUGUCCUUAUUUUAAAUGUGAAGAAAAAAGGACCCAUUACAGUGAAGAGAUUUGCCCAGUGGUGCACAAUUAGAAAAUGGCAGAGCGAGAUUCAACUCCACACAAUCAGAUUCCGGAACCAACUGCUUCCCCAAAGCUCUAGUUCCCCCAAAGCUCUAGUUCCCUCCCUACAGAGGGCCUUUGGCUAAGACACCAGGUGCUUACAUUUUUAUUAAGUCACUACUCUGAGGCCCAAGGGAGCUGAGGAAAUUGAGAGCAUGCAAGAGAAAUGGUGCUUCCACUGGUGUUUUCACCAAAUAAAUUAAAAUUUAACCAUAAAAAAAUUAUUAAAAAGCACAAAAGAUGCUGAUAUGCUUAUGAAGUUCCUGCUUAUGAAGUUCCUUUUUUAUAAUAAAGAAAUUAUAUUUAAUCUACGUGGGCUUGCUCUUUAGUCAAAAUACACUUCUGUCUCCUAUUCAGUCAUCCUUCCACUGCUUUAAAGCAAUUUACUUUGUUAUGUCAAUUUUAAUGUAAAAUGAUUUGUUUUAG